GACCAUAGCUCAGUUGGUUAGAGCGCACCCCUGAUAAGGGUGAGGUCGAAGGUUCAACUCCUUUUGGUCCC
rnacentral:tRNA from 2 species